rnacentral:lncRNA from 1 species
UGUGUGUUUGGAAUAUUGAACAAAAAAUAAAAGACAAAGGUUAUAAUUUAUCAUUACAAAAGGUGCUUUAUGGUCACCAUGGAAAAGUUCUGAGCAUUGCAUUCUCUAAACCUUUUAACAUUAUUGUCAGUGGUUCAACGGACAAAAGUUGCAUAAUCUGGGAUAUGCAAAAACUGUUGUACACUCGACGACUCAAUCUUCCUUCUGGCAGCUCUGUCAACUGCAUCUCUAUUAAUCAUG